rnacentral:rRNA from 1 species
UACGUAGGUGGCAAGCGUUAUCCGGAUUUACUGGGUGUAAAGGGCGUGUAGGCGGGACUGCAAGUCAGAUGUGAAAACCACGGGCUCAACCUGUGGCCUGCAUUUGAAACUGUAGUUCUUGAGUACUGGAGAGGCAGACGGAAUUCCUAGUGUAGCGGUGAAAUGCGUAGAUAUUAGGAGGAACACCAGUGGCGAAGGCGGUCUGCUGGACAGCAACUGACGCUGAGGCGCGAAAGCGUGGGGAGCAUACAGG